AACGCACGAGACCUGCGGACCUGCGGAAGGAUCAUUACAGGAUUCGCAAGUCUCCCGUAAACCCCUGUGAACAUACCUAUACUCGUUGCCUCGGCGGGUGCUCCGGUGCGAACCAGGGCGCCAGCCCGCCGGCGGCUCGCUACUCUGUAUUGAAUACUGCAUCUCCGAGCAAUUGCAAACGAAUCAAAACUUUUAACAAUGGAUCUCU
rnacentral:misc_RNA from 1 species